AUGGCGGCUGACGGGGGAGAAGACAUGGAUGCUCUUUGUGAUCCAGAUUUGGGCUACUUGGCGCGGCCGCGAACUGCCCUUGCCCAAACUAAGGUGAACAGCUGCGUGAAUGAGGAUAUGCAUGAUAUGUGCAUUGGAAGCCAAGAAGCUCUGUUCAUGCAGCCAAACUUCUCUUAUGUGGCGCUGUUGAAGGGUUAUAUUGACCUAAAUGGAGACUCUCAGACAAUCAAUACCCAGGGACCGGAGUCGUGCUUGGGUGCUGCUGACAUUGGUCAAACAAGCGAUGCGGGUGAACCUCUUCUACAUUCACAACAAACAAAGGCGGCUCAGGUCUUGGGCGGCGACUACACGUCCAACAGCACACCAAGCCUUCAGUUUUUAGGCAUGAUGGGUGACUUUGUUGACGACCAGGACAAUUCUCCUGUGCAAAUGGAGGAUCUAGAUGCACAAACAACAACUUUUGAAUUAUCCAAGGGAGGGGAUGAUAUAUCGUUUGAUGACUGUCAAGGAGAUCCAUGGAGGCCAACCCUCUUUGAUGAUAUUCGCUUGGAUCAGGUUGAUACAAACAAUGAAGAAAGAGACGGCUCUUCUGAGAGGGAGCAAAAUCAUACCUGGAAUCUCGAUUCGCCGACAUGUGUGUAUGCUGGUUCCUCUAGACAGUCUCGAGAGGCGGGAACAUCAACUGAUGCAUGCCAUCUGCAAGUGCAAGACAACAAGAAUGAAGAUAAUGAAAUCAAUGAAGAAACAAUAGAAGAUUUUUUGGAAAAUGAAAGACGGGCCGCAGAAGGAGGGAACGACAGAACAAUUGAUAGCGAGCUGAAACCUGAAACAGGGAUGCAUUUUGCUACGAGGGAAGAAGCUCAAAAGUUCUUAAACUUCUAUGCCUUUGUAGCUGGUUUCUCCAUAUCUGUUGUGUCGACUGCCCGCACAACCAGCAAAAAAAGGGACAGAGAAGUUACAAGGGUAACACUGAAAUGCAACAAGUAUGGGCAUAAUACAGAGGUUGAAAUGGAAAACUUGUCUGUACAAAGAAAAAGCACUGUCAUAGCGAAGACAAACUGCAAAGCACACAUGCUAAUUUCUUUGAAAGAUGGAAGAUGGCACAUAACUAAACUCAAUCUUGAUCAUAACCAUGAGCUCAACCCUGGCAGUAGGUUUUUUAGAUCUCAUGUUUACAUGUCUGAUGAAGAGAAAGCAUUGAUCAGAACAAUGAAAAGGUGCAACAUACCUACGAGGAAGAUAGUGGCAGUAUUGGCGUACAUAAGAGGAGGAAUGGACAAGUUACCAUACAACAAAAGGAAAGUGAGUAACUAUGGUACCACAAUAAACCGAGAAUUGGAAAAUAGUGACGUCAUGGAAGUGCAGCAAUACUUCGAGAAGAAACAAGCUGAGAGCCCUGGAUUUUGCUACUCAAUGGAAGUAGAUGCAAAAAACAAGGUCCGGAGUGUGUUUUGGACAGAUGCUAGAUCUAGAAUAAUGUACCAAGAGUAUGGGGACUGCAUCAACUUUGACACAAAUUCCUAA
rnacentral:rRNA from 1 species